ensembl:lncRNA
CUGUUGAAAACACAAAGUUGUAUCUUAAAACCAAGGGACCUCACAAAAGUAUCGAAGAAGUAGGCUUGGUUCCUGUUCCAGGUGUGUCCUCCCUGGAAAGCAGACAAUGAAACAGAAUUAGGAAGAUCUGAGAAGUGCAUGUCCGUGGAUGCCAUGGUUCCUCCGAGGAAAUGUCUUCUAAGAGAGCAGCAUGGAUGGGAAGUAGAAGAAGAGAAGUCGGAGAUCAGAAACAGGGGCGUGUUCAUUGUUGUCAAGAGUCAUCUUGAAGCCUAGCAGUGUUUUCAGCAAAAUGGUGCAUAAUUUGCUUCAUGUUUCCAUGAGGAUGUUUCAUCUUGUUUAUUGAAAGAGGAAGUACAGUUAAGUCCUGUCACCGCUGGGAACCGAUUCUGUACUACUCACUCUCUAGCAAUUCAAAGGAAAAGGAAGAGAAAACUGGCUAAGAGAAACAGAAAGGUGAGUUCUAGUAGUAGCUUUCAGGCAGGGGGAAAGGAGCAUUCCACUGUCGUUGAAGUAUAAGAAGGCCCUCUCUAGAAUUUUUGCAGAAUGGUCUAGAACAAUCAUUUGAGCCUAUAUAAUUCAUACAGGAAAAUAGGGAUAUAGGCAAAGCUGUUUCUAGUUUCUCUGACACCCGUGAUAGAGAGCCCUGUUUAGCACACCUAGUCUUAAAAAAAGAAUUUAGACUAAAAAUUGACCUCACACUUUUGGCUUCUGUAGGACACAAGCAGAAUCUAAAAUACAUUAAUAUGGCCAUGAGGAGGAAUGAAGAAGGAUGAGAGAGAGGGGGUAGUAAAAAAGCAACUCAGUCCAUUUCUCCACUGCAUCUAAGAGGAAUUUUCCUAGGCUGAGAUCCAAUGGCCGCUCUGAAAUCAGUCCCAACUCAAAUCAUGUGGCACUUCAUGGUACUUUAAUCUGGGACCUCUGCAUUGAUGUGGAAUAGAGGAAAUGUGUAUGUGAAUGGCCAGAAUGAUGCCACCACCCUUCUGGGAAGCUCCACUUUAUGCCACUCAGCCAAGGCCUCAAAGAUACAUGAGUAGUUACUUGGUUGACAUUAUUAUUAAUCCUGUUAAUAGUAAAUUACAUUUUUGACAUUGCAUAAGCUUUUAAUAGUGGAGGACUUCAAACAUAUGUAAAAUAGACAGCUGUGUAACGUGAGUCCCCACAUAGCCUUCACCUAUCUUUAACAAUUGUCAACUCAGGGCCAAUCUUCUUUCAUUUGUGCUCUACCCACUUCUCUACUUUCCAUAUGAUUUCAAAGCAAAUCCUGGCUCUCAUAUCAUUUCAUCCAUAAGUGUUUCAGUAAAUUUCUCUGAAACAGAUUGGCAAACUCUGGCCCGUGGAUCAACCUCCUGUUUUAUAAAUGAAGUUUACUGGAACACAGCCACGCCCUUUUGUUUACCUAGUGUCUAUUGGCUGUUUUCCCAGACAGAGACCCUAUGGUCCACAAAGCCUAAAAUAUUUACUAUUUGGCGCUUUAAGAAAAAGUUUGCUGACCCCUGUGCUAAAAGAUAAAGACUUUAAAAAACCUAACUACAAUAUCAUUAUCAUACCUCGAAAAUUAACAAUAAUUUACUGCAUGGUAACUUAAAAUUGUUUAGGACUUUAUACCUUUUUUCAAUGCCUUCAUAUUUGUUAUCUCAUUUGAAUCUAGCAGCAACUCUGGAGAUAAAGAUGGAAAACCUUCAUGCCAUUUAAAUCCCUUUUAUAUAUGAAGAAAAAUGUAAUCAUAGAGAGUUUAAAAGCGAUUUCAUCAAAGCCAGGCAGCUAGUAAGCAAUUUGAAUAAGAUUCUGCCUCUGAUAUAUUGUGGUAAGGCGAGG